CUGUUCCGAAGCAAGAUCUUUUUUCAUUUACCAUGACCAUUCGUCUUAUUUGAAAAAAUUUUGUGAUUAAUAUUUUUGUUUUUACUAGAUGAUAAAUAUGAAUAGUACUUUAUGCGUGACUAAUUUUUUUAAGUUUUUAUACAAAUUUUUUAAAUAAAACAAAUGAUUAAACGUUGGACACGGAAAAACGAAAAUCGAUCUUAUU
rnacentral:pre_miRNA from 1 species